GGGUCAGUAGGUUGGUCGUGCCACCGGUACGUACUGGUCUCACUGAUUCCUCCUUCCUGAAGAACCGUAAUGCCAUUAAUUUGGUGUUGCGGGGAAACAGGACUGUUACUUUGAAAAAAUUAGAGUGUUUAAAGCAAGCUAACGCUUGAAUACAUUAGCAUGGAAUAAUGAAAUAGGGCGAUCGACCCUAUUUUGUUGGUUUCUAGGAUUGACGUA
rnacentral:rRNA from 1 species